UCGAGAUCCAGACUUCCAGGGAGCAGCGAGCGAGCCUAUCAAAUAUAUCUCUCUUUUGCGUGGUUUUGUGACGCUUUUGGACUCUUGGAGUCGGACAGUUCUUUUCCAGAAGAGGCGACAAUAAUUCUGUACCUGCUGAACUUACGAAUGGAGUCUGGUGGUUGGAGUGAUUUUCUCUGGGAAGGCUAAGUUUCAUUAUGGUUGUUAAUAUUUAUAUAAACUUUUGAGAAUUCCAUUUGCUUCGGUGUGUUGUCUGAUUAUACCUAUCACAAUAUAGUUCUUUGAUCUGGUUGCUUAAUGUAAUGGCUAUUUAUAACAGGUAAUGAAACUCGAGGAGGCCUUAGGCCAUUUGUUCUAUGAAUUUAGUAUAGUUUAAGAUCAGUAAACAAGAGUCCAUGAAGAUUUAACUGAAAGCUAGAUCACCUUUAGGGAGCAAACUACGACUGGGAGAAAUAUAACCUUUUUUAAUUCAGGAUAAGGAAGGUACACAACAUUCUCUUCUCUGGUUACGCUUCAUAAAACAAGGAUAUGGCGAAUGGAAUGGCUUACCGGUAUUAAAGAACUCUUGCUCGUUGCUUUCCACCAAAAUAACUUGAGGUGAGAAUGGAGGUUGGCGUUAAAGAUAUGCUUCACUUUAUGAUAAGGUGUCCUGCAUUGAUAGUUCACCGGUGUAAUUGGUUAUGACACUUCAAUUAAUAUUAAAUGUACGUGUAAAUACCAACUUUAUUACCUUCACCAUGAAGAACAAUUGCAGAUUGCUGAGAUUUCAUUGCUAUGGAAUAAGUAUUAAAUUAUCUCAAGUUGUCUUUACCUUCCCCAGAAGAUUAAAUUUUAAAAUCCCCAGGGAUUUACAGUACUGUGACUGUUUUAACUUAAUAAAACAUAAGUCAGACCAUAAGUAUACCAUUACUUAACAAUAUUUCGGGUAAUAGUCAUGGCGUUAACAUCUUUUAAUACCUGCAAUUAUUUCGGCUGAGUUUAUAACAGGAGAGAAAAAAAUUACUUCAAAUGUAAUUUAGAUGUUGAGUAGUCUGAUAGUUUAAGGUAGACAGAAUCUAAAUUUGUCUGAAAGAUUUUAAGGUGUAAAUAACUUACCCUAUAAUUUAAUUCGUAUAUACUGUCAUUUUCUGCCUUUUCGUGUUCUGAGAAGGUAUCAAGGUGUAAGCAAUUCGCCUUAUUAUUUAAUUCAUAUAUACCGUACCGUCCUUUACUACUGUUUCGUGUUGUGAAAAGGUAUCAAGGUGUAAAAAACUCUUUAUUAUAAUAUAACUCUUA